UUUCUGGAGAUCAGUUAUUUUCUUUUAUCAUGCCUUCUAAUGAUAAGGGGUUUUGUCUUUUUUUAGGAAGGUGGAGUGUUUACUUUUGGAGCUGGAGGGUAUGGUCAGUUGGGCCAUAAUUCUACCAGUCAUGAAAUAAACCCAAGGAAAGUUUUUGAACUUAUGGGAAGCAUUGUCACUCAGAUUGCUUGUGGACGAUUAUGAAGAAUAUUUCUGUGUAAAAAGAAUUUUCUCAGGGGGAGAUCAAAGCUUUUCACAUUACUCUAGUCCCCAGAACUGUGGGCCACCAGAUGACUUCAGAUGUCCUGAUCCGACAAAGCAGAUCUGGACAGUGAAUGAAGCUCUAAUUCAGAAAUGGCUGAGCUAUCCUUCUGGAAGGUUUCCUGUGGAGAUAGCCAAUGAGAUAGAUGGAACGUUUUCUUCCUCUGGUUGCCUAAAUGGAAGUUUUUUAGCUGUUAGCAAUGAUGAUCACUAUAGAACAGGUACCAGAUUUUCAGGGGUUGAUAUGAAUGCUGCUAGGCUUUUAUUCCACAAACUUAUACAACCUGAUCAUCCGCAGAUAUCUCAGCAGGUGGCAGCUAGUUUGGAAAAGAAUCUUAUUCCUAAACUGACUAGCUCCUUACCUGAUGUUGAAGCAUUGAGGUUUUAUCUUACUCUACCAGAAUGUCCCCUGAUGAGUGAUUCCAACAAUUUCACAACAAUAGCAAUUCCCUUUGGUACAGCUCUUGUGAACCUAGAAAAGGCACCACUGAAAGUACUUGAAAACUGGUGGUCAGUACUUGAACCUCCACUAUUCCUCAAGAUAGUAGAACUUUUUAAGGAAGUUGUGGUACAUCUUUUGAAACUCUACAAGAUCGG
rnacentral:lncRNA from 1 species